rnacentral:rRNA from 1 species
GCUAACACAUGCAGUCGAACGGAAUCUUCGGAUUUAGUGGCGGACGGGUGAGUAACGCGUGAGAAUCUGCCUUCAGGAUGGGGACAACAAUUGGAAACGAUUGCUAAUACCCGAUAUGACGAAAGUUGAAAGAUUUAUCGCCUGGAGAUGAGCUCGCGUCAGAUUAGCUAGAUGGUGUGGUAAAGGCGCACCAUGGCGACGAUCUGUAGCUGGUCUGAGAGGAUGAGCAGCCACACUGGGACUGAGACACGGCCCAGACUCCUACGGGAGGCAGCAGUGGGGAAUUUUCCGCAAUGGGCGCAAGCCUGACGGAGCAAUACCGCGUGAGGGAGGAAGGCUCUUGGGUCGUAAACCUCUUUUCUCAGGGAAGAAUACAAUGACGGUACCUGAGGAAUCAGCAUCGGCUAACUCCGUGCCAGCAGCCGCGGUAAUACGGAGGAUGCAAGCGUUAUCCGGAAUGAUUGGGCGUAAAGCGUCCGUAGGUGGUUAUGUAAGUCUGUGGUUAAAGCGUGGGGCUCAACCCCAUAAAGGCCAUGGAAACUACAAGACUUGAGUGAAGUAGGGGUAGAGGGAAUUCCCAGUGUAGCGGUGAAAUGCGUAGAGAUUGGGAAGAACACCGGUGGCGAA